rnacentral:rRNA from 1 species
CGGCCCGAUUAGGUAGACGGUGGGGGAACGGCCACCGUGCCAGUAAUCGGUACGGGUUGUGAAAGCAAGAGCCCGGAGACGGUAUCUGAGACAAGAUACCGGGCCCUACGGGGCGCAGCAGGCGCGAAACCUUUACACUGCACGCCAGUGCGAUAAGGGGACUCCAAGUGCGAGGGCAUAUCGUCCUCGCUUUUCACCACCGUAAGGAGGUGGUAGAAUAAGUGCUGGGCAAGACCGGUGCCAGCCGCCGCGGUAAUACCGGCAGCACGAGUGAUGACCGCUAUUAUUGGGCCUAAAGCGUCCGUAGCUGGCCGUCCAAGUCCAUCGGGAAAUCCGCGCGCUUAACGCGCGGGCGUCCGGUGGAAACUGGAUGGCUCGGGACCGGAAGACCUAGGGGGUACGUCUGGGGUAGGAGUGAAAUCCCGUAAUCCUGGACGGACCACCGGUGGCGAAAGCGCCCUAGGAGGACGGAUCCGACGGUGAGGGACGAAAGCUCGGGUCACGAACCGGAUUAGAUACCCGGGUAGUCCGAGCUGUAAACGAUGUCUGCUAGGUGUGUCACAGGCUACGAGCCUGUGAUGUGCCGUAGGGAAGCCGUGAAGCAGACCGCCUGGGAAGUACGUCCGCAAGGAUGAAAUUCAA